rnacentral:rRNA from 1 species
UGGUAGGAGAGCGUUCUAAGGGCGGUGAAGUCAGACCGGAAGGACUGGUGGAGCGCUUAGAAGUGAGAAUGCCGGUAUGAGUAGCGAAAGAAGGGUGAGAAUCCCUUCCACCGAAUAUCUAAGGUUUCCUGAGGAAGGCUCGUCCGCUCAGGGUUAGUCGGGACCUAAGCCGAGGCCGAUAGGCGUAGGCGAUGGACAACAGGUAGAGAUUCCUGUACCAGUGCUAAUUGUUUAACCGAUGGGGUGACACAGAAGGAUAGGGAAUCGCACGAAUGGAAAUGUGCGUCCAAGCAGUGAGUGUGAGAAGUAGGCAAAUCCGCUUCUCGCGAAGCAUGAGCUGUGAUGGGGAAGGAAAUUAAGUACGGAAGUUCCUGAUUUCACGCUGUCAAGAAAAGCCUCUAGGAAGAGUAGUACUGCCCGUACCGCAAACCGACACAGGUAGAUGAGGAGAGAAUCCUAAGGUGAGCGAGAGAACUCUCGUUAAGGAACUCGGCAAAAUGACCCCGUAACUUCGGGAGAAGGGGUGCUCUAUUAGGGUGCAAGCCCGAGAGAGCCGCAGUGAAUAGGCCCAGGCGACUGUUUAGCAAAAACACAGGUCUCUGCAAAACCGUAAGGUGACGUAUAGGGGCUGACGCCUGCCCGGUGCUGGAAGGUUAAGAGGAGUGCUUAGCUUCGGCGAAGGUACGAAUUGAAGCCCCAGUAAACGGCGGCCGUAACUAUAACGGUCCUAAGGUAGCGAAAUUCCUUGUCGGGUAAGUUCCGACCCGCACGAAAGGCGCAACGAUCUGGGCACUGUCUCAACGAGAGACUCGGUGAAAUUAUAGUACCUGUGAAGAUGCAGGUUACCCGCGACAGGACGGAAAGACCCCGUGGAGCUUUACUGCAACCUGAUAUGGAAUGUUUGUACCGCUUGUACAGGAUAGGUAGGAGCCGAAGAGACGUGUGCGCUAGCAUACGAGGAGGCAAUGGUGGGAUACUACCCUGGCUGUAUGACCAUUCUAACCCACCACGCUUAGCGCGUGGGGAGACAGUGUCAGGUGGGCAGUUUGACUGGGGCGGUCGCCUCCUAAAGAGUAACGGAGGCGCCCAAAGGUUCCCUCAGAAUGGAUGGAAAUCAUUCGCAGAGUGUAAAGGCACAAGGGAGCUUGACUGCGAGACUGACAAGUCGAGCAGGGACGAAAGUCGGGCUUAGUGAUCCGGUGGUUCCGCAUGGAAGGGCCAUCGCUCAACGGAUAAAAGCUACCCCGGGGAUAACAGGCUUAUCUCCCCCAAGAGUCCACAUCGACGGGGAGGUUUGGCACCUCGAUGUCGGCUCGUCGCAUCCUGGGGCUGUAGUCGGUCCCAAGGGUUGGGCUGUUCGCCCAUUAAAGCGGCACGCGAGCUGGGUUCAGAACGUCGUGAGACAGUUCGGUCCCUAUCCGUCGCGGGCGCAGGAAAUUUGAGAGGAGCUGUCCUUAGUACGAGAGGACCGGGAUGGACACACCGCUGGUGUACCAGUUGUUCCGCCAGGAGCAUCGCUGGGUAGCUAUGUGUGGCAGGGAUAAACGCUGAAAGCAUCUAAGCGUGAAGCCCCCCUCAAGAUGAGAUUUCCCAUUUCUUCGGAAAGUAAGAUCCCUGAAAGAUGAUCAGGUAGAUAGGUUUGGAGUGGAAGUGUAGCGAUACAUGGAGCGGACAAAUACUAAUCGAUCGAGGACUUAACCAAAAA